UACAGAGGCCACAAGCGUUAAUCGGAAUCACUGGGCUUAAAGGGUGCGUAGGCGGUCCCGCAAGUGCUUUGUGAAAACCCAUCGCGCAACGAUGGAAUGGCUCGGCAUACUGCGGGACUUGAGGUCGGUAGAGGUCGUCGGAACAGUAGGUGGAGCGGUGAAAUGCGUAGAUAUCUACUGGAACGCCAAAGGGGAAGACAGGCGACUGGGCCGAUUCUGACGCUGAGGCACGAAAGCGUGGGGAGCGAACGGG
rnacentral:rRNA from 1 species